UGGGGAAUAUUGGACAAUGGGCGAAAGCCUGAUCCAGCCAUGCCGCGUGUGUGAAGAAGGUCUUCGGAUUGUAAAGCACUUUAAGUUGGGAGGAAGGGCAUUAACCUAAUACGUUAGUGUUUUGACGUUACCGACAGAAUAAGCACCGGCUAACUUCGUGCCAGCAGCCGCGGUAAUACGAAGGUGCAAGCGUUAAUCGGAAUUACUGGGCGUAAAGCGCGCGUAGGUGGUUCGUUAAAGUUGGAUGUGAAAGCCCCCGGGCUCAACCUGGGAACUGCAUCCAAAAACUGGCGAGCUAGAGUACGGUAGAGGGGUGGUGGAAUUUCCUGUGUAGCGGUGAAAUGCGUAGAUAUAGGAAGGAACACCAGUGGCGAAGGCGACCACCUGGACUGAUACUGACACUGAGGUGCGAAAGCGUGGGGAGCAAAACAGGAUUAGAUACCCUGGUAGUCCACGCCGUAAACGAUGUCAACUAGCCGUUGGGUUCCUUGAGAACUUAGUGGCGCAGCUAACGCAUUAAGUUGACCGCCUGGGGAGUACGGCCGCAAGGUUAAAAACUUAAA
rnacentral:rRNA from 1 species